AGUGGCGACCGGGUGCGUAACACGUAUGCAACCUACCUUUUACUGGGGGAUAGCCUCUCGAAAGAGAGAUUAAUACCCCAUAACAUUUCGGAGGUAGCAGUUACUCUGUUCUUAAAGCUACGGGCGGUAAAAGAUGGGCAUGCGCCCUAUUAGAUAGUUGGUGAGGUAACGGCUCACCAAGUCAACGAUAGGUAGGGGUUCUGAGAGGAAGAUCCCCCACACUGGUACUGAAACACGGACCAG
rnacentral:rRNA from 1 species